rnacentral:misc_RNA from 1 species
AACGCACCUUGCACCUUUUGGUAUUCCGAAAGGUAUGCCUGUUUGAGUGUCUUGAAACCUCACACUCUAGAGUUUUCUCUAGGGACGUGGAUUUGGGUGUUGCAAUUUGCUCACCUUGAAUGACUUAGUGGUUCCUACCACCGCCUGAUGUAAUAAGUUUCAUCUGGCCAAGGGAAGACUGCUUCUAAUCGCCUCGCGGCACUAUUUAAGACUAGACCUCAAAUCAGGUAGGACUACCCGCUGAACUUAA